UUUCCGUAGGUGAACCUGCGGAAGGAUCAUUAUUGUAUAACCGAGGUGCGAGGGCUGUCGCUGACCCGAAAGGUCGUGCACGCCCGAGUGCUCUCACACACAUCCAUCUCACCCCUAUGUGCACCACCGCGUGGGUCCCCCUUUGGCUUGUUCGGAAGGGGGCUUACGUUUUCACACAAACUUUGUAUGCAGUGUAGAAUGUAUUUUUUGUUUUUGCGAUCACGCAAUCAAUACAACUUUCAACAACGGAUCUCUUGGCUCUC
rnacentral:misc_RNA from 1 species